UGUUCACUCACUCAUGAACUAGUAUUGCAAUCUACCUAAGAAAGGUGAAAUACAAAGUGACAAAUAGAAAAACAACGUAGUAAACGUCGUAAAAUCAAUCACUUUGAUUAUCAAGAGCAGAUAGUUACAGUUCACAGUUUUAACUCCUCCGUUCGCUAAUAAAAAUAUAAACAACUAAAGCUAGUCAUCAAGUGGGUAACAAGGAUACAUUAUGGCGGAUACAGCACAAAACUUAAACGAUCGUUUCCAACGAUUCGUAAAUGGCAUCGGAGAGCGAUAUGAGCCCUACGUACGUCAGCACUUGUCCAAGGUGUAUAUGGUGCUGGCGAGCACUACGGCUGCUGCGGCAGUCGGAGCUCUUCUUCAAAUGCAGAAUAUGUUUGAUUUGGGCAUGCUAGCAGCGAUUGCAUCAUUGGUGCUGGUUCUUGGUCUGCACUUCUAUAAGGAUGAUGGCAAGAACUAUUACACUCGCUUGGGAAUGCUCUAUGCCUUUGGUUUUUGCUCUGGACAGACUCUGGGUCCCCUAUUAGGAUACAUAGUCAGCAUAAAUCCGGCAAUUAUACUAACUGCACUCACCGGCACUUUCGUGACCUUUGGAUCAUUGUCAUUAGCCGCUCUAUUGGCCGAACAGGGCAAAUAUUUGUACUUGGGCGGAAUGCUGGUUAGCGUUAUCAACUGCAUGGCACUGUUGAGUCUCUUCAACAUGAUAUUCAAAUCAUACUUUGUCCAGAUUACUCAACUGUACGUUGGCGUUUUUGUCAUGGCCGCGUUUAUUGUUUACGACACACAAAAUAUUGUGGAGAAGUGUCGCAUGGGCAACCGCGAUGUGGUCCAGCAUGCCUUGGAUCUAUUCUUUGACGUUCUGAGCAUGUUCCGCCGUUUGCUUAUUAUUCUAACGCAAAAGCUGAAGAGUUUUAUGGUUUAAAAGUAGCUCAAAGAACAAUUUCAAGCAAUCAAAGAAUAACAUUGAACCACCUUGUAUAUAGCAAACAAUAGCUUAAUUUAAGCAAUUUAAUCAAGUCAACGGAGGAGCAAAAACAGGCUGACCGUCGUAAGAGGAAGUAAAAAGAUCCAUAAUUUUGUGAAAUGGUUAAUAUUAUGUCAUAAUUUUUUCAAAUUUAAAAAGAAAUAGCCGUGUUAAUCUUUUGGUUUUAAAUUAUAGCUCACAAAUUACAACAAACAAAUGUUUGGUACACCUGAAAACCAUGCAAAUCUAUAACAAAUCCUAAACAACAUCUAAAAUAAAAUUUCUCAUUCAUUCAAUUUGUUGUACGUUGUAAUGUAUUUAUUAUAUAAAAAUUAGCCCAGUCAUGUGUAUAUUACAAGUAUUAAUGUUGUAAUACUUAUUUUGAGUUCAUGUUUAAAUAUUUAAUGCGUAGCGUUAAUAAACAAAAGUGAAGAUGAUU